CACAUGCAAGUCGAGCGGCAGCGGAAAGUAGCUUGCUACUUUGCCGGCGAGCGGCGGACGGGUGAGUAAUGUCUGGGGAUCUGCCUGAUGGAGGGGGAUAACUACUGGAAACGGUAGCUAAUACCGCAUGACCUCGAAAGAGCAAAGUGGGGGACCUUCGGGCCUCACGCCAUCGGAUGAACCCAGAUGGGAUUAGCUAGUAGGUGGGGUAAUGGCUCACCUAGGCGACGAUCCCUAGCUGGUCUGAGAGGAUGACCAGCCACACUGGAACUGAGACACGGUCCAGACUCCUACGGGAGGCAGCAGUGGGGAAUAUUGCACAAUGGGCGCAAGCCUGAUGCAGCCAUGCCGCGUGUGUGAAGAAGGCCUUCGGGUUGUAAAGCACUUUCAGCGAGGAGGAAGGCAGUCGUGUUAAUAGCACGAUUGAUUGACGUUACU
rnacentral:rRNA from 1 species